GAUGAACGCUAGCGGCAGGCUUAAUACAUGCAAGUCGAGGGACAGCACAGGUAGCAAUACUGGGUGGUAACCGGCAAACAGGUGCGGAACACGUACACAACCUUCCUUUAAGUGGGGGAUAGCCCAGAGAAAUUUGGAUUAAUACCCCGUAAUAUAGUUGAAUGGCAUCAUUUGAUUAUUAUAGCUACGGCGCUUAAUGAUGGGUGUGCGGCUGAUUAGAUAGUUGGCGGGGUAACGGCCCACCAAGUCUACGAUCAGUAGCUGAUGUGAGAGCAUGAUCAGCCACACGGGCACUGAGACACGCGCCCGACUCCUACGGGAGGCAGCAGUAAGGAAUAUUGGUCAAUGGACGCAAGUCUGAACCAGCCAUGCCGCGUGAAGGAUUAAGGUCCUCUGGAUUGUAAACUUCUUUUAUUUGGGACGAAAAAGGGCCUUUCUAGGUCAACUGACGGUACCAGAUGAAUAAGCACCGGCUAACUCCGUGCCAGCAGCCGCCGCAGUAA
rnacentral:rRNA from 1 species